rnacentral:lncRNA from 10 species
ACCAGUCCUAUUUCUUGGUUUUCUGGACGUUCUUCUCUCCUUGGAGCUGCUCUUGUCUUUCCCAUUUCAUCUCCAAACCGAUUUUGAUUUCCUGAACGUUUGUCUUGAGCAAGGCCUGCGUUAUCUUAGGGCCAGGCACCAUGGCUCAUGCUUGUAAUCCCCACACUUUGGGAGGCCAAGGCAGGAGGAUCGCUUGAGCUCAGGAGUCAAGACCAGCCUGGGCAACAUAGUAAGACCUCAUCUCUAAAAAAAAUAAAUAAACUAUUUCUUAGAAAUGUAGUUCCUGUUUAGACCUUUGAACAAUGACCAUGUCUAGUGGUCUCUCCAUAGCACAUGAUGUAUAAAAUUGUUCUUAUUUUCAUUACUAACAGCUACAAAAUAACUAUAAAGUAGAUCAUAAAUAUGCCAUAUGUAAAUAUGUAUACAUAGUGCUUUUAUUUUUAUGUGGAAUCUAAAUCAAAUAUGUGAAGAGCU